AUUGAACGCUGGCGGCAGGCCUAACACAUGCAAGUCGAGCGGGGUUUUCGGACCUAGCGGCGGACGGGUGAGUAAUGCGUAGGAAGCUACCCGAUAGAGGGGGAUACCAGCUGGAAACGACUGUUAAUACCGCAUAAUGUCUACGGACCAAAGUGUGGGACCUUCGGGCCACAUGCUAUCGGAUGCGCCUACGUGGGAUUAGCUAGUUGGUGAGGUAAUGGCUCACCAAGGCGACGAUCCCUAGCUGGUUUGAGAGGAUGAUCAGCCACACUGGAACUGGGACACGGUCCAGACUCCUACGGGAGGCAGCAGUGGGGGAUAUUGGACAAUGGGCGCAAGCCUGAUCCAGCCAUGCCGCGUGUGUGAAGAAGGCCUUCGGGUUGUAAAGCACUUUCAGUAGGGAGGAAGCGUUGUGUGUUAAUAGUACACAGCGUUGACGUUACCUACAGAAGAAGCACCGGCUAACUCUGUGCCAGCAGCCGCCGCCGUAA
rnacentral:rRNA from 1 species